UGAGAGAAGGAGCUCUGAGGUGAAGGAGCUGAUCAGAGCCCAAGAGAAGGAUCAAGUGAGUGAAGCUGAAGGAGUCCUGGAGCAACUGAAGCAGGAGAUAGCUGAGCUGAGGAAGAGAAGCACUGAGCUGGAGCAGCUCUCACACACAGAGGAUCACAUCCAUUUCCUCCAGUACUUUGGAGAUGUGAGUAAGACUGUGUCUGAAAUGAGAGAGAAACUAGAAGACUUCCUUAAAGGAGAAUGGACCAAGAUCUCCACUACAGUGAAUAUAGUGGAGGUUGUUCUGCCUCCAGAGCCCAAGACCAGAGAACAGUUGUUACAAUAUUCCUGUCAGCUCACACUGGACCUAAACACAGCACACACACUCCUCUCUCUGUCUAAAGGGAACAGAAAGGUGACCUGUACACGCCAAGUCCAACCAUAUCCUGACCAUCCAGACAGAUUCACCAACUGGUACCAGGUUCUGUGUAGAGAGGGUCUGACUGGGCGCUGUUACUGGGAGGUAGAGUGGAGUGGUGGGAUAAUGGGGGCUGGUAUAGGAGUGACAUAUAAAGGAAUCAGCAGGAGAGGAGGGGGUAAGGACUGUCUGAUUGGAUACAAUGACAAGUCCUGGAGUCUGUUCUGCUCUGACAUCAGUUACUCUGCCUGGCAUAAUAAUAACUCCACUACCAUAGACGUCCCCUCCUCCAGCUCCCACAGAGUAGGAGUGUAUCUGGACUGGUCAGCCGGCACUCUGUCCUUCUAUAGAGCCUCCUCUGACACACUGACCCACCUGAUCACAUUCACCUCCACAUUCACUGAGCCCCUCUAUCCAGGGUUUAGGGUUUAUUAUGUUGGCUCUUCAGUGUCCCUGAAAUAAUAACUGGACACACACACACACACACACACACACACACACACACACACACACACACACACACUGAACACACACUGAACACACACACACACACACUGAACUGAAACUGGACACAAAAUGGACACACACACACACACACACACUGGACAAAAACAUACACACACACUGGACACACACACACACACACACACACACACACACACACACUGGACACACACACACACACUGGGCACACACACACUGGACACACACACACACACACACACACACACACACACACACACACACACACACACACUGGUCAAACAAAAAUACACACACACACACACACACACUGGACACAGACACUGGACACACACACACACACACACACACACACACUGGACAAACAAAGUGGACAAACACACACACUGGACACACACACACAAACACUGGAUACACACAGACACACACACACUGGACUCACACACACACACACACUGGACACACACACACACACACACACACACACACACUGGACACACACUGGACACACACACACACACACACACUGGACACACACACACACACACACACACUGGACACACACACACACACACACACUGGACACACACACACACACACACACUGGACAAACACACACACACACACACUGGACAAACACACACACACACAUACUGGACAAACACACACACACACACACUGGACAAACACACACACACACACACACACACUGGACAAACACACACACACACACACACACACACUGGACAAACACACACACACACACACACACACUGGACAAACACACACACACACACUGGACAAACACACACACACACACACACACUGGACAAACACACACACACACACACACACACACACACACACACACACACACACACACUGGACAAACACACACACACAAACACACACACACUGGACAAACACACACACACACACACACACUGGACAAACACACACACACACACACUGGACAAACACAAACACACACACACACUGGACUCACACACACACACACUGGACAAACACACACACACACUGGACAAACACACACACACACUGGACAAACACACACACACACACACACACACACUGGACAAACACACACACACACACACUGGACAAACACACACACACACACACACACACACACACUGGACAAACACACACACACACACACACUGGACAAACACACACACACACUGGACAAACACACACACACACACACACACACACACACACACACACACACACACACUGGACAAACACACACACACACACACACUGGACAAACACACACACACUGGACAAACACACACACACACGCACACACACACACUGGACAAACACACACACACACACACACGCACACACUGGACAAACACACACACACACACACACACACUGGACAAAACACACACACACACACACACACACACACUGGACACACACACACACACACACACACUAGACAAACAAACACACACACACUGGACUCACACACACACACACACACACACACACACUGGACACACACACACACACACACACACACACACACACACACACACACACACACUGGACUCACACACACUGGACACACACACACACACACUGGACACACACACACACUGGACACACACUACACACACACUACACACACACACACACACACACACACACACUGAACACACACUGAA
rnacentral:lncRNA from 1 species